rnacentral:tRNA from 1 species
GCUGAGGUAGCCAAGCCCGGACGAAGGCGCAGGCCUUGAGAGCCUGUGGGGCUUACGCCCCGCGAGGGUUCAAACUGCAACAUGUCUGGAGCA